AUACUGGAUAUGACGGCCGAUCGCAUGGUCUGGUCGUGGAAAGAAUUUUGGUUGGGGAUGGACUCGCGGCCUAUCAGGUAGUUGGUGAGGUAAUGGCUCACCAAGCCGACGACGGGUAGCCGGCCUGAGAGGGUGACCGGCCACACUGGGACUGAGACACGGCCCAGACUCCUACGGGAGGCAGCAGUGGGGAAUAUUGCACAAUGGGCGCAAGCCUGAUGCAGCAACGCCGCGUGAGGGAUGACGGCCUUCGGGUUGUAAACCUCUUUUAGUAGGGAAGAAGCGAAAGUGACGGUACCUGCAGAAAAAGCACCGGCUAACUACGUGCCAGCAGCCGCGGUAAUACGUAGGGUGCAAGCGUUGUCCGGAAUUAUUGGGCGUAAAGAGCUCGUAGGCGGUUUGUCGCGUCUGCUGUGAAAUCCCGAGGCUCAACCUCGGGCUUGCAGUGGGUACGGGCAGACUAGAGUGCGGUAGGGGAGAUUGGAAUUCCUGGUGUAGCGGUGGAAUGCGCAGAUAUCAGGAGGAACACCGAUGGCGAAGGCAGAUCUCUGGGCCGUAACUGACGCUGAGGAGCGAAAGCGUGGGGAGCGAACAGGAUUAGAUACCCUGGUAGUCCACGCCGUAAACGUUGGGCGCUAGAUGUAG
rnacentral:rRNA from 1 species